rnacentral:rRNA from 1 species
GUGCUAAGGUAGCAUAAUCAUUUGUCUUAUAAUUGAAGACUAGAACAAAAGAUUUAACAUCCCAAUUAAUAUUAAUAAUAUAACCAUUAAAAUUAAUAUUAAUGUAAAAAAGCAUUAAUUAUAUAGAAAGACAACAAGACCCUAUUGAACUUCACUAUAGUUAAACUGGGGCAGUAUAUUAAUAAUCAUUUUAAUAAAAUUUUUAAAACAAAAAGCUAUUAAUAAAUAAUUAAUCAGUUACCAUAGGGAUAACAGUGCUAUAUAUAUUUAAAGCUCUUAUUUAAAUAUAAUUUUACAACCUCGAUGUUGAAUUUAUAACCUAAUUAAAGAAAAAUUUAAUUAAGGUAGUCUGUUCGACUAUUAAAAAAUAACAUGAUUUGAGUUCAGACCGGUGUAAACCAGGUCGGAUUCCAUCUUCUACUAAUUAUUUUACAGUACGAAAGGACCUAAAAAAUUAAUAUCAUUUUAUAUAUGGCAGAUAAAUGCAUUAGAAUUAGAAUCUAAUAAACUAAA